UUAUUACUCUCUCCGAUCCAUAUUAAUUGUCGAAACAUUACAUGUAUCUAGACACUUUUUAAGCAUAGAUACGUCUAUAUUUGGACAAAUUUGAGACAAUUAAUAUGGAUCGGAGGAAGUAGGAU
rnacentral:pre_miRNA from 1 species